rnacentral:siRNA from 1 species
GAGUAUAGGCCAAAGAAAUCUUGG